rnacentral:rRNA from 1 species
AUACGAAAGGUGCAAGCGUUGUUCGGAUUUACUGGGCGUAAAGAGAGUGUAGGUGGUUUAUUAAGUCGGAUGUGAAGUCCCGGGGCUCAACCUCGGAACUGCAUUCGAUACUGAUAGGCUAGAGUUUGGGAGGGGUAAGCGGAAUUCCGUGUGUAGCAGUGAAAUGCGUAGAUAUACGGAGGAAUACCUGAGGCGAAGGCGGCUUACUGGACCGAUACUGACGCUGAGGCGCGAAAGCGUGGGGAGCAAACGGGAUUAGAAACCCCGGUAGUCC